rnacentral:rRNA from 1 species
AACGAACGCUGGCGGCGUGGAUAAGACAUGCAAGUCGGACGAGAUUUUUCGUUGUAGCAAUACGAUGGAAAGUCUAGUGGCGAACGGGUGCUUAACACGUGGGCAACCUGCCAAGAAGUGGGGGACAGCUCGCCGAAAGGCGAAUUAAUACCGCAUGUGAUUAGAGAGGACAUCCUUUCCAAAUUAAAGUCGGGGCAACCUGACGCUUCUUGUGGGGCCCGCGGCCUAUCAGCUAGUUGGUGAGGUAACGGCUCACCAAGGCUUUGACGGGUAGCUGGGCUGAGAGGACGACCAGCCACACUGGGACUGAGACACGGCCCAGACACCUACGGGUGGCAGCAGUCGAGAAUUUUUCUCAAUGGGGGAAACCCUGAAGGAGCGACGCCGCGUGGAGGAUGAAGGUCUUCGGAUUGUAAACUCCUGUCAUUGGGGAACAAGGUGCAUACGUUAACUGCGUGUGCAUUGAUAGUACCCGAAGAGGAAGAGACGGCUAACUCUGUGCCAGCCGCCGCCGUAAUAC